GCCUGGACGGGGCUGCUGCUCAGGCUCUAACAAUUCAGCACGUGGCCCCCACCCCGCCCCAGCCAGGGCAGCUCGUCCCGCACCCCCAAAACCCAGCAGGACAACAGAACCCAGGGGCCGGCCGGGGGGUGGGGCAGGCCGGGCAGAGCCCAGGCAGGAGAGGGUAGGGGAGCUGCAAGGGGGCAGGGUGGGGUGGGCUUCAGGGGGAGGCACAGGGAGGAUGUGCUGCCUGGGAACAUCCUUGAAAGGGUCAAAGACGUUGUUCUGAUCUUCCGUCCCAGGAGGGGUACCAGGCCCACCCCAGCCGGGGCCGCCGGGCCGCCAGGCAGAGCCCGAGAGGCAAAGGUGCCAGAGGAACCCAGGCUGUGCACGCCAGCUCAGCGCUUGCCAUGGGCAUCCCUCUCACAUGAACGCAGCUCAUGUUUUAGCUGGAAAACAGAGAGAGGUUUGGAGGAUUCUAAUAAAAGUCACCCGGGAGCCCCCUGCCGGGGGGCCCCUCUGGGUGUCCCCUCGCGGCCAUGAUAAAGGGCCGAGGGCUCUGCCAGGCAGCCCCAGCACAGGCAUCUUCUCCUGGCCCGGGAUCCUGCAGAAGAGCACAAGGGCUGCAGAGCAGAGGCCGGACGACGCCAGCUCUCAGAGUCAGCACCAACCCCGUCAGGGUGACCACUGGGGACCCAUCCACGCCACAGAGAGGUGACAGGUGAUACGCGUCCUGCGUCUCUGCUCCUUCCAGCCAGCUCCCCAGAACAGCAGGGCCAACCACCCUGGGCCUGGCCUCCUCCUGCUUCCUCCACACAGGCUCUGGACUCAGGCUCCGGCCGAGCCGAGGUACCACCCAACCGUGGAAUGACCGACGGGAGAGCAUCCGCCUGGGGCCUCCUGGGAGGGAUGGGCGGCACAGACGGGGGCGCAGGGGGAAGGCGCUUCGGACAGUGGAUGGCAGUGCCACGGCCUGACCGUCCCCAACUCCCUCCUCCCGCCCAGCCUCGUUUCCUCAUCUCUAAAAUGGAGCCAAGAGGCAGACCCGGGUCCUGGAGUCCUUGGGGGCUUAACCACCCGCCCGCCCUGAGCACUGAGAACCCGGUCCUUUGUUCUGGGGCGACCUGCAGGGAGCCAGGGGAGAGGGGACAGGCGCUCAAGAGAGGAAGCCGAGAAGCAGGGGUUGGGAAGGGGAGACCUAGAGAGAGACCCAGACCAGACCAGACCAGACCAGGGUGCUCAGAAGACCAGCUCAACCAGAUGGCAGCCCAGGAAGGGUGCGCCCCCUCCCGCCCCCACCACACAGGACAGGCUCCGUCGGAACGCACCAGCAGGGGACGGGUGGCUGGGUGCCCAACGGGUCCCAAGAAACGACGCCGGAAAGAAAGCCCAGCUGCCCGUGGGGGCCAAACAUUCCCCAUCCAGGCCGGGAGAAGGAGGAUCCCAGGACGAUGCACAGCCUGCAGCCCAGACCCAGGACCGGCCCACCGCAGAUCCACAGGUUUAAAGGGCACCGGCGAGAGCUGGCAUCACGGGCCCCAAGACCAAACUUCUGAGAAGCCCGGAAGAGGGGGUCCCGGAGCUCUCUCCUGCCAUGCUCUGGGGGUCGGAGGUGAACCUUCUGGGACUCUCUGCGCACGCCCCUGGGACCGCACCUACGCCCCUGGGACGGCACCUAGACCUAAACUUCAUCCCAGGCCCCACCCCGCCCCAGCCCCAGCCAUGCCCACGGCUGCAGGGCAGUCCAGCUGUCCAGAGGGGACGCUACCAGUUGGAGACACAGUCACGUGGCUUGGCAUGUGGCCCUGGCCCAGUCCUGAGACCAGAGAUCAAACCCGAACCACAGCAGCGAUCCAAGCCUCUGCACCAGCAACCCCAGAUCCUUGACCCGCCGCCCCAGGAGGGACUUUUUUGGUUGUUUUGAUCGUUUGUAUUUUCUAAAUAUUAAAGAAAUUCUUUUUUCCCUAAUGAAGGGCGUGUAGAAAGCAUUGAAAACUUUUUUUGGUCUUACGGCUGCACCCACAGCACGUGGAUGUUCCCCGCUAGGGGUCGAAUCGGAGUUGCAGCCACCGCAAGGCCAGAUCUGAGUCUCAUCUGUGCCCUCUGCCACAGCUUGCGACAACACCAGCUCCUUAACCCACUGAGCGAGGCCAGGGAUUGAACUCAUGGACACUGCGUCGGGUUCUGAACCCGCCGAGCCGCAACGGGAGCUCCAAAAAGUGUUUAGAAGAUGACAGAUACCCAGAAGCCUGUCCCCGAGGCUUUGGUGCCGUUUCCGUGCACGUGUGCGUGUAAACCCUGCUUGCAGGUUUCCAAUGCUGGGUAUCUACCCAAACCCAGCCUGUGCUGCCUUAAUUUUCACCUCAGUUCCAUGACGUUGGCUCUCUAUUUAUUCUUGCUUCACUGACGAGAAAAAUGCAGCUUAGGUAGAAACUGCAGCUAGCUCCUGGUCACUCGCUCUGGAUCCUAGAGCAGGCGGGGCGGUCCCCAUCCCUCCAUUUAAUCUUUAC
ensembl:lncRNA